rnacentral:rRNA from 1 species
UACGUAGGGGGCAAGCGUUGUCCGGAUUUAUUGGGCGUAAAGAGCGUGUAGGCGGCUUGACAGGUCUGCUGUGAAAACUCGAGGCUCAACCUCGAGAUGUCGGCGGAAACCGUCUGGCUAGAGUCCGGAAGAGGAGAGUGGAAUUCCAGGUGUAGCGGUGAAAUGCGUAGAUAUCUGGAGGAACACCGGUGGCGAAGGCGACAUCCUGGACCGGUAUUGACGCUGAGGCGCGAAAGCCAGGGGAGCAAACGGG